rnacentral:rRNA from 1 species
AGAGUUUGAUCAUGGCUCAGGACGAACGCUGGCGGCGUGCUUAACACAUGCAAGUCGAGCGAUGAAGUUUCUUCGGAAAUGGAUUAGCGGCGAACGGGUGAGGAACACGUGAAGAAUCUGCCCUCCACUUUGGGAUAACACCGGGAAACCGGUGCUAAUACCGAAUAUUGAAACAUAAGUGGCAUCACUGAGUUUUGAAAGAAUUUCGGUGGAGGAUGACUUCGCGGCCUAUCAGCUAGUUGGUGAGGUAAUGGCUCACCAAGGCAACGACGGGUAGCCGGCCUGAGAGGGCGACCGGCCACACUGGGACUGAGACACGGCCCAGACUCCUACGGGAGGCAGCAGUGGGGAAUAUUGGGCAAUGGAGGAAACUCUGACCCAGCGACGCCGCGUGCGGGAUGAAGGCCUUCGGGUUGUAAACCGCUUUCAGUAGGGAAGAAGCGAAAGUGACGGUACCUACAAGAGAAGCACCGGCUAACUAUGUGCCAGCAGCCGCGGUAAUACAUAGGGUGCAAGCGUUGUCCGGAAUUAUUGGGCGUAAAGAGCUCGUAGGUGGUUUGUUACGUCGGUUGUGAAAUUCAGGGGCUCAACCCCUGACUUGCAGCCGAUACGGGCAAGCUAGAGUUUGGUAGGGGAGACUGGAAUUCCUGGUGUAGCGGUGGAAUGCGCAGAUAUCAGGAGGAACACCGAUGGCGAAAGGCAGGUCUCUGGGCCAAUACUGACACUGAGGAGCGAAAGCGUGGGGAGCGAACAGGAUUAGAUACCCUGGUAGUCCACGCCGUAAACGGUGGGCGCUAGUUGUGCGAACCUUCCACGGUUUCUGCGACGCAGCUAACGCAUUAAGUGCCCCGCCUGGGGAGUACGAUCGCAAGAUUAAAACUCAAAUGAAUUGACGGGGACCCGCACAAGCGGUGGAGCAUGUGGUUUAAUUCGAAGAUACGCGCAGAACCUUACCAACCCUUGACAUGUCUGUCGCGAGUUUAGGAAACUAGACUUUUCGGUUCGGCCGGACAGAACACAGGUGCUGCAUGGCUGUCGUCAGCUCGUGUCAUGAGAUGUUGGGUUAAGUCCCGCAACGAGCGCAACCCCUACUUUUAGUUGCCAUCAGGUCAUGCUGGGCACUCUGAAAGAACUGCCAGUGAUAAGCUGGAGGAAGGUGGGGAUGACGUCAAGUCCUCAUGGCCCUUACGGGUUGGGCUACACACGUGCUACAAUGGUAGUGACAAUGAGAUGCAAAGUGGCGACGCUAAGCUAAACUCAAAAAUCUACCUCAGUUCGGAUUGCACUCUGCAACUCGAGUGCAUGAAGCUGGAAUCGCUAGUAAUCGUAGAUCAGCGUGCUACGGUGAAUACGUUCCCGGGUCUUGUACACACCGCCCGUCACACCAUGGAAGUUGGUUCUACCUUAAAGCAGAUUGCUAACCGCAAGGAGGCGUUUGACCAAGGUAUAGUCAGCAACUGGGGUGAAGUCGUAACAAGGUA